rnacentral:rRNA from 1 species
AUGACGACGGCGGGGCAGCGGUGGGGUCGGGCCAGCGUCGGGCUGCGGUGCGGUCGACCAGCGCCUGGCAAAGGCAGUGCCUCGGCUGCAGCGGCAUCAGGCCAGGGCGCAGCUACUGGCCAGGGCACUGUUGGGUCGGCCGUCGGCGUGGCUGGAAGUUCCUGUCAGGGUGUCCCCGGGUUGGCAUCGGCAAUAGCUUCAGGCCGGGCGCAGCCACAUGGGCUUGUUCAGGUGGCUAAAUGGCACUCCUGGGAAUGCAAUGUUAGUAGUAGCAAUACAGAGGCUCAUUUGAACGCAGUGUUAGUAGUAGCUACUGACCAUCUAGUUAAUGAUCUGUUAGUAAUGAUCAAAUUGUCUAGCAAUGUUUGUAAUGGAGGAGUUAGUUUGCUUGGCUGUGAUCACAACAAGAUUAUUGCUUUACUUUAUUUCUGUUAA